UAAAGGGUGCGUAGGCGGCCUGUUAAGUCAGGGGUGAAAGACGGUAGCUCAACUAUCGCAGUGCCCUUGAUACUGAUGGGCUUGAAUUGACUAGAGGUAGGCGGAAUGUGACAAGUAGCGGUGAAAUGCAUAGAUAUGUCACAGAACACCGAUUGCGAAGGCAGCUUACUAUGGUCUUAUUGACGCUGAGGCACGAAAGCGUGGGGAUCAAACAGGAUUAGAUACCCUUG
rnacentral:rRNA from 1 species